rnacentral:pre_miRNA from 1 species
UCCUCUUUGUAAUGUUUCUUGCUCAAAUGAGUAUUCCAGCCACAGUUUGCCUGCAGCUUGCAUAUAUAUAUAUAUAUAUAUAUAGCGCUGGUGCUUCUGCAAUUCUGAGAUGCUCAUUUGAGCAAGCAGCGUUACAAGAGGA